rnacentral:lncRNA from 1 species
GCCUUUCUCAUCCCUUCGUUUUUGAGUGACCCCGGAGAGAUAAGACUCCUUUUCUUGCUUCCUUAGAGCGUUGUUUUGUGUCACACGCACUGUUCCACAAAACCGCGGCAUGGGAUGGAUACCUGGAGCAAAGUGAAGUCUAAGUUUCCAAGGAGACCAGGAUUGGAAUUCCAUUACCAGUAGAUAAGAGCCGGGUAACACCAACAACAUUCUUUUCUCAGCGCUUGUGCCAAAUCCUCUCUCUUCAAUCUGCAGUUUAUCCACUUUGGUACUACUACUGCAAGCACGCAAGCAAGCGAGGUCCAUUAGCACAAGCCAGCGACUUACACAAGUGGUGGUUUAGCCGAAGGAUUUUCCACUCGAGUUGCUGUAAAUCCCCCCCGGGUCAAGCUCGCUCCACACUCUCGGGGGCUUUGUCUCAGCAACAGCAGCAACUGCAACCAAGUAAGCAGUGCUUGAGUCCCUGUUUUGCUCGCAAAGUAGGAUGGAUUUAGAGGCAGAGAUCCCGGUGUCAAUGCCUCAGCCGAGCUACCUUCAUGACUCGUCCAACAAGUUGAAGCUCAUGGCCAGUGGUGCCAACGGAGUCACGCCCGUCACAGCCGUGGAAGAAGCCGCGGCAGCAGUGGUUGCAGCGUCGCGAGCUACUUUCGCUGAGCCCAUCCUAGCACAACCUCUUGCAGCCGGAACUCCAAACACCGCCACCACCACUAAUGGCUCCAAAGUUGAGCCGAGCAAGAAACCGGUGCGGUACAGGGAGUGCCUCAAGAACCACGCCGCUGGCAUCGGUGGUCAUGCUCUCGACGGCUGCGGAGAAUUCAUGCCCAGCGGAGAAGAAGGCACCAUCGAGUCGCUCAAGUGCUCGGCCUGCGACUGCCACCGGAAUUUUCACAGACGAGAAGUCGAAGGUGAGCCUCCGUCUUGUGUAUCUGCCUGCUUAAAGCUCCUCCUCAUUCGUCCCCAGGUGCCAAGGACGUGAUGUCCAAGAAGAAGCCAUCGUCAGUCCUCCCGCUGCAGCAACACGGCUCUCCA